rnacentral:rRNA from 1 species
ACUCCUACGGGAGGCAGCAGUAGGGAAUUUUCGCAAUGGAGGAAACUCUGACGGAGCAAUACCGCGUGUGGGAAGAAGAUUUUCGGAUUGUAAACCACUGUUGUAAGGGAAGAACGUUAUUAGUAGGAAAUGGCUAAUAAGUGACGGUACCUUACCAGAAAGGGACGGCUAACUACGUGCCAGCAGCCGCGGUAAUACGUAGGUCCCGAGCGUUAUCCGGAAUUAUUGGGCGUAAAGGGCACGUAGGCGGACAAAUAAGUUUGAUGUCAAAUAUGAUGGCUCAACCAUCAAGAGGCGUUGAAAACUGUUUAUCUAGAAUCUCGGAGAGGUAAGUGGAA